CCGAGCCUUACACUCAUCACCCUGUGACAUACCUAAAACGUUGCUUCGGCGGGAACAGACGGCCCUGUAACAACGGGCCGCCCCCGCCAGAGGACCCCUAACUCUGUUUUUAUAAUGUUUUUCUGAGUAAACAAGCAAAUAAAUUAAAACUUUCAACAACGGAUCUCUUGGCUCUGGCAUCGAUGAAGAACGCAGCGAAAUGCGAUAAGUAAUGUGAAUUGCAGAAUUCAGUGAAUCAUCGAAUCUUUGAACGCACAUUGCGCCCGCCAGUAUUCUGGCGGGCAUGCCUGUUCGAGCGUCAUUACAACCCUCAGGCCCCCGGGCCUGGCGUUGGGGAUCGGCGGAAGCCCCCUGUGGGCACACGCCGUCCCUCAAAUACAGUGGCGGUCCCGCCGCAGCUUCCAUUGCGUAGUAGCUAACACCUCGCAACUGGAGAGCGGCGCGGCCAUGCCGUAAAACACCCAACUUCUGAAUGUUGACCUCGAAUCAGGUAGGAAUACCCGCUGAACUUAAGCAUAUCU
rnacentral:rRNA from 1 species